rnacentral:rRNA from 1 species
AAACCCAAAGGAUUUAACGGUAUUUUAGUCCUUUCAGAGGAACCUGUUUUUUUAUCGAUAUUCCACGUUAUAUCUUGCUUUAUUUUGUUUUCAGUAUGUAUACCGCCGUUAUUAGAGUGUUUUUUUAGAAUAUUUUUAUUUUUCUUUGUUUUUUAUUAGAAGUGAUUUCAGGUCAAGGUGCAGUUUAUAGUAAAGUUGAAAUGGGUUACAAUAAAAUUUAUUUAUAAUGGAUUUUUACAUGAAAUUGUAGUUUGAAGGUGAAUUUGAUAGUAAUAUAUUAAAUAAUAUUUUUUUGAUUUUGGCUCUAAAAUAUGU